UCCGUGGUACAGCAAGCAUGUAUAGAACCUGGUCAGGUCCGGAAGGAAGCAGCCAUAAAAACCUCUACUUGCGUGUACCAUUUUAUA
rnacentral:SRP_RNA from 1 species